rnacentral:rRNA from 1 species
GACGAACGCUGGCGGCGUGCUUAACACAUGCAAGUCGAGCGAUGAAGUUCCUUCGGGAACGGAUUAGCGGCGGACGGGUGAGUAACACGUGGGUAACCUGCCUCAUAGAGGGGAAUAGCCUUCCGAAAGGAAGAUUAAUACCGCAUAAGAUUGUAGUGCCGCAUGGCAUAGCAAUUAAAGGAGUAAUCCGCUAUGAGAUGGACCCGCGUCGCAUUAGCUAGUUGGUGAGGUAACGGCUCACCAAGGCGACGAUGCGUAGCCGACCUGAGAGGGUGAUCGGCCACAUUGGGACUGAGACACGGCCCAGACUCCUACGGGAGGCAGCAGUGGGGAAUAUUGCACAAUGGGGGAAACCCUGAUGCAGCAACGCCGCGUGAGUGAUGACGGUCUUCGGAUUGUAAAGCUCUGUCUUCAGGGACGAUAAUGACGGUACCUGAGGAGGAAGCCACGGCUAACUAC